AGCGAACGCUGGCGGCAGGCCUAACACAUGCAAGUCGAGCGCCCCGCAAGGGGAGCGGCAGACGGGAGAGUAACACGUGGGAACGUACCCUUCAGUUCGGAACAACCCAGGGAAACUUGGGCUAAUACCGGAUACGUCCGUAAGGAGAAAGAUUUAUCGCUGAAGGAUCGGCCCGCGUCUGAUUAGCUAGUUGGUGAGGUAACGGCUCACCAAGGCGACGAUCAGUAGCUGGUCUGAGAGGAUGAUCAGCCUCACUGGGACUGAGACACGGCCCAGACUCCUACGGGAGGCAGCAGUGGGGAAUAUUGGAGAAUGGGCGCAAGCCUGAUCCAGCCAUGCCGCGUGGAUGAUGAAGGCCCUAGGGUUGUAAAGUCCUUUCGGCGGGGAAGAUAAUGACGGUACCCGCAGAAGAAGCCCCGGCUAACUUCGUGCCAGCCGCCGCCGUAA
rnacentral:rRNA from 1 species